ensembl:rRNA 5S_rRNA 5S ribosomal RNA
GUCUCAGGCCGUAUCAGCCUGAAGGCGCCCGAUCUCGUCUGAUCUCGGAAGCUAAGCAGGGUCGGGCCUGGUUAGGAUCUUGGAUGGGAGACCACCUGGGAAUCCCGGGUGCUCGGGGCU